rnacentral:lncRNA from 12 species
CACAGAGAACCUGAGCAGCUGGAAAAUGUUCCUGUUCUCAAAAUCCAGCUGAGAUCCCUGGGUCUGCCUUCCCUGCCGUGUCCUUUGGAUCUCCUCUCUUUCAGUUUGACCCUGCAGGAAAAAACAAUUUCCUUAUUCCUGUGGAAAGGGAAAGGAAUAAUCCCCAGCCCAGACAAAACAUUUAAAAGAUCUUUAGUGUCUAGAAGUGACAAUACCAACCCUCACCAGCAGCAACCUAAACGUUGCAUUUUCGUGGGGAAAAGAGAACUUUAAAAACACUCAAGUUGCCCAGGGAAGGAAUAUUUGCAUGGAUGUUUUUCUUCUGGCUGAUCUCACAUCUCCCUGCCUGGGAAAUGAAGCGAGGGGAGUGUUUUGCAUGCUCUGCAUGGACGAGGCAAUGGGAGAUUUUGUGCUCUAAGUGGAGAUAGCAGAAUCACAUCGGGCAGGUGAGAAAUUGCCUCUCGCUAUCCUGCAGCCACAAUCACCAUCCUGAAACAGGGAGGGGGGCUGGGCAGAGAAAUUAUCUCCAGCUUUUAGAAUAGCAGGCCUGGAGGAAUAGGUAACUCCUCUGUAGGAGCAGUGCACUACAGGAGGAAAUCCAGAUUAAUAUUUAGCAGAAGCAACAAACUCUUAACACCACAUUUCCCCCCUGAACAUUCUUUUCUCCACUUUAUUGUUCUUUUCCUUUAGCUCAGCUUGAAUGCUUUGGAAACAACUCAGGUGCUUCUUUGCAGACUAAAGCAGCGAUAAGAGUUUUUUUGGUGCUUAUUUUAUUUCAGCUGACAGAGCAAAUUGUCCUGUUGAUGCAGGUGCAGCUCCAAAAUCCUUUCAGCUCACCGAACACUUGGCGUGGAAUUCACGCAGGAAAGGAUUUCCAGACACUUCAGCAGGGCAGGACCCUCGGAGGAACUGGGAGGUUUUCCUGAGAACGUUCAAUGUCGCCUUAAAUGAGGCCAUAAAAAGUAAGUGCUUUUUAAAAGCAGCCUUGCACAGUAGGGUCUGCAUUGUCAGAGCUUCC